rnacentral:rRNA from 1 species
AUUGAACGCUGGCGGCAGGCCUAACACAUGCAAGUCGAGCGGAUGAAGGGAGCUUGCUCCUGGAUUCAGCGGCGGACGGGUGAGUAAUGCCCAGGAAUCUGCCUGGUAGUGGGGGAUAACGUCCGGAAACGGGCGCUAAUACCGCAUACGUCCUGAGGGAGAAAGUGGGGGAUCUUCGGACCUCACGCUAUCAGAUGAGCCUAGGUCGGAUUAGCUAGUUGGUGGGGUAAAGGCCUACCAAGGCGACGAUCCGUAACUGGUCUGAGAGGAUGAUCAGUCACACUGGAACUGAGACACGGUCCAGACUCCUACGGGAGGCAGCAGUGGGGAAUAUUGGACAAUGGGCGAAAGCCUGAUCCAGCCAUGCCGCAUGUGUGAAGAAGGUCUUCGGAUUGUAAAGCACUUUAAGUUGGGAGGAAGGGCAGUAAGUUAAUACCUUGCUGUUUUGACGUUACCAACAGAAUAAGCACCGGCUAACUUCGUG